rnacentral:lncRNA from 1 species
GGAAAUAUAGGUUAAGUGACUUCAAAUAGAUCAAGAACACCAACCUUAUAACUUCACAAAUCAAGUAUGGAAUAAAUUCCAUCUUCCACCCAACUAUAUCACCAUAAUCAACACAACUCAAGGGAUUUAAUCAUCACAAAACAGAACUAAACACUCUUUUAUGCUCUCAACUUCUUUCCAACACACAAAGUCGAUUCUCUAACAAAUUUCUCAAUAUACACUCGACUUCACUUUUUUUUUUCCUUUUUCUUUUCUUUUUCUUCUUUUUUUUUUUUUUUUUCUUGAACAACUUUUUUUUUCUUUUCUUUCCACAACUUUUCUAGAGCUUAUAAGAGUAAAUAGUAACACAAAAUCAUCCCUUCUUUUUCACAACCCACUAUGAAUAUUCACCACACAAAGAUUCCCAUAUACUACAUCACCCCUAUCAUCCGGCUAAAGAAUAAAAGCUAAAUAGGCUCAAAGUGGAUAACAAAGGAUAAUUUUUCGUUAAGGACAGUGUUUGGGAAAAUAAUGUGGCUAACAAAAGAUGGCCUAAAAUCAUCUCAUAAUCAUGGGCAC